rnacentral:rRNA from 1 species
UACAGAGGUCCCAAGCGUUGUUCGGAUUCACUGGGCGUAAAGGGUGCGUAGGUGGCGGGGUAAGUUUGAUGUGAAAUCUCCGGGCUUAACCCGGAAACUGCAUUGGAUACUAUUCUGCUCGAGGUUUGGAGGGGGGACUGGAAUUCUCGGUGUAGCAGUGAAAUGCGGAGAUAUCGAGAGGAACAACAGUGGCGAAGGCGAGUCCCUGGACAACACCUGACACUGAGGCACGAAAGCGAGGGGAGCAAACAGG